UGCCGUGUUCCUCUGUGUUUCCGUGUAUUUCCGUGUGUUGCCGUGUGUUGCUCUGUUACUCUGUGUUGCCGUGUGUUGCCGUGUGUUUCCCUGUGUUGCCGUGUGUCCCCGUGUGUGUCCGUGUGUUCCUGUGUGUGUCCGUGUGUUUCCCUGUGUUGCCGUGUGUCCCCGUGUGUUUCCCUGUGUUCCCAUGUGUGUCCGUGUGUUCCCGUGUGUGUUCAUGUGUUUCCCUGUGCUCCCGUGUGUGUCCGUAGGUUCCCCUGUGUUCCUGUGUGUUCCCGUGUGUUGCCGUGUGUUCCCAUGUGUUGCCAUGUGUCCGUGUGUUCCCGUGUGUCCCCAUGUGUCCCGUGUGUCCGUGUGUUCCCGUGUUUCCCUGUGUUCCCGUGUGUGUCCGUGUGUUCCCCUGUGUGUCCAUGUGUGUCUGUGUUCCUGUGUGUGUCCAUGUGUUCCCCUGCGUGUCCGUGUGUCCCCGUGUGUCCGUGUGUUCCCGUGUUUCCCUGUGUUCCCGUGUGUGUCCGUGUGUUCCCCUGUGUGUCCGUGUGUGUCCGUGUGUGUCCGUGUGUUGCCGUGUGUUCCCGUGUGUUCCCAUGUGUUGCCGUGUUGCUGUGUGUUCCCGUGUGUUGCCGUGUCUUCCCGUGUGUCCGUGUGUUCCCGUGUGUCCCCGUGUGUUGCCGUGUGUUCCCGUGUGUCGCCGUAUCUUGCCGUGUGUUCCCGUGUGUCCGUGUGUUCCCAUGUGUUCCCAUGUGUUCCCGUGUGUCCCCGUGUGUUCCCGUGUGUCCGUGUGUUCCCGUGUGUCCCCGUGUUUCCCUGUGUUCCCGUGUGUGUCCGUGUGUUCCCGUGUGUGUCCGUGUGUUUCCCUGUGUUCCCGUGUGUGUCCGUGUGUUCCCCUGUGUGUCCGUGUGUCCCGUGUGUCCGUGUGUUCCCGUGUGUCCCCAUGUUCCCCUGUGUGUCCGUGUGUGUCCGUGUGUUCCCGUGUGUCACCGUGUGUCCCCGUGUGUUCCCAUGUGUUGCCGUAUUGCCGUGUGUUCCCGUUUGUUGCCGUGUGUUCCCGUGUGUCCCCGUAUUUCCCUGUGUUCCCGUGUGUAUCCGUGUGUUCCCGUGUGUCCCCGUGUGUUGCCAUGUGUUCCCGUGUGUUGCCAUGUGUUGCCGUGUGUUGCCGUGUGUCCCUGUGUGUUCGUGUGUUCCUGUGUUCCCCUGUGUUCCCGUGUGUGUCCGUGUGUUCCCCUGUGUGUCCUUGUGUCCCUGUGUGUCCGUGUGUUCCCGUGUGUCCCCGUGUUUCCCUGUGUUCUCGUGUGUGUCCGUGUGUUCCCCUGUGUGUCCGUGUGUGUCCGUGUGUUCCCGUGUGUCACCGUGUGUCCCCGUGUUUUCCCAUGUGUUGCCGUGUUCCCGUGUGUUCCCGUGUGUUGCCGUGUGUUCCCGUGUGUCCGUGUGUUCCCGUGUCUCCCUGUGUGUUGCCGUGUGUUGCCGUGUGUUGCCGUGUGUUCCCGUGUGUACGUGUGUUCCUGUGUGUCCCUGUGUGUUGCCGUGUGUCCCCGUGUGUUCCCGUGUGUUCCCCUGUGUCCGUGUGUUCCCAUGUGUCCGUGUGUUCCCGUGUGUCCUCCUGUGUUCCCGUGUGUUCCCCUGUGUUCCCGUGUGUCCGUAUGUUGCCGUGUUGCCAUGUGUUCCCGUGUGUCCGUGUGUUCCCGUGUGUCCCCGUGGGUUGCCGUGUGUUGCCGUGUGUUCCCGUGUGUCCGUGUGUUCCCGUGUGUCGUGUGUGUUGCCGUGUGUCCCCGUGUGUCGCCGUGUGUUGCCGUGUGCUCCCGUGUCCUUGUGUUCCCUUGUGUUCCCCUGUGUCUCCAUGUGUGUCUGUGUUCCCAUGUGUGUCCAUGUGUUCCCCUGCGUGUCCGUGUGUCCCCGUGUGUCCGUGUGUUCCCGUGUUUCCCUGUGUUCCCGUGUGUGUCCGUGUGUUCCCCUGUGUGUCCGUGUGUUGCCGUGUGUUCCCGUGUGUCACUGUGUGUCCCCGUGUGUUCCCAUGUGUUGCCGUGUUGCCGUGUGUUCCCGUGUGUUGCUGUGUCUUCCCGUGUGUCCGUGUGUCCCCGUGUGUCGCCAUAUGUUGCCGUGUGUUCCCGUGUGUCCGUGUGUUCCCGUGUGUUCCCAUGUGUUCCCGUGUGUUCCCGUGCGCUCUCCCGUGUCGCUCCGCGCUCGCUGAGCGCUCGCGGCUCUCUCGCGGCGCACGCACUGCGCUCACGCCUCUGCGCAUGUCCGCGCACGUGAGCGCUCGCGUGUCCAGGUUUGCUGUCGCGUGCGCCAGUGUUUUGCGCGCGAGGGGCCGCGCAUGCGCGGUGCGGCGGCCGCGCCCGUUCCGCGCCGGACGUGGCAGCGGCGGGAGCGAUGCGGGCGGUGCCGCCGGGGCCGGGGCCGGGGCCGGGGCUGUGGCUGGUGUUGACGGGUGCGCUGGUGGCGGGCAGCGGCUCGGAGCACCCCCGGCUGCGCCAGACCGUGCUGCGGGACCUGGCCCGCGGCAAGGUGGAGGUGAGCGCGGGCGGGGAGCGCGGGGCGCGCCGGGCGGAGCCGGUGCCCGCUGGUGCGUGACGCGUGUCCUCUCCCGCAGAGCUGCGGCGGGUGACGGCUGA
rnacentral:lncRNA from 1 species